UAAUCCGGAAUUUUUUUUUUUAAGAUGAUAUUUUUAACUCUGUGUAGGCUUUGUCCAACAUGUCAUGCAAAGUGUCCGAGUCUCAGCAUAUACAUGUGUAAAUCUAAUUCAAAUAGCCUGUGCCAUAUGUACCGUGCCAGGUGUUGCGCUGUACUACAGGAUUUUUAUCAGAUGGGUUAGUUUUUUGGAUAAUGAGUUGGGGAGUACUGCUGUAGCAUCUCCAUGGUUUUAUUCGAAUCUGUCUAUUUUUUACAGUCUGACAUGUUGGUCAAUACACCGUCAUAUCAUGGAGGGAAAUGCACAGAGACAUUGUAGAGCAUUAUGAUAUGUAUAGCUGGGGAUGCACUUAUCCGAGCCCUGGAUCCCUAUUGGGUCUCUAUUCCACUGUUGUAUUUUAUAUUGGAUUGAACACAGCACAAUUUUCCUUUAAGCACAUUUUACAUGACUGCACCCAGUUCAGUUCAGUGUAUCAACUGUAUCACUGUAUUUGUUAUCUACAGUGUGCACUCUAUAUGCAGCUUUAUCUCCUAUGCAAACCAAGCCAAGUUUAAAAAGUCAAACUAUAAACUAUGGACAAGUUAAUUUUUAAAAGAAGAUUCUAUUCAGAUUAUAAGUUUUUAUUUGUUUCUGUGACUUGUGUUUCCUUUUUCAAAUUGACCACUAUUAUGCCUGCUAUUAAUCAAGUCCUGAAACGUUUUAAUAAAGUUCAAACCACUGAGUCUUUAUUGUGUGUCUGUGGCAUACACUGUAUCAUGUAAACAGUACUUCAUAUAGGGACGGGAAUCACCAGGGACGUCCUGAUAAAAAAUUAUCACGUCACCUAGGUCCCAAUUUGAUUUGUACUGCGAUUCUGUUAGUAUUAUUAUUUUAUAAAUGUCCAGAUUCGGUAUUAAACUUUUUUCAGAUUUUCUUACAAUUCUAAACAAAUGGCAAAUAAUUUUCUCGUACAACACAGAACGCUGUGCUGUGUGAAUAGCUUAUAGUGCAUUGAUUAGUUUUUUAUUUAAUUCUUAAGUCACUGUGGUGAUACAUGACUUGCCACAUAAAGAACUGCAAUAUGUAUCUGAAGCGAUGUUUUCCUGUCUCUAACUUAUAAACUGUAAGACAACUCGCACAACUCUUCAGCGUGAUGACAUAUCCACAUUUUCCCCCCACAAAAAGCAAGCUGAUCAUAAUCAUGACUGAUAUCCUUCAAAAAUAUUACUUAGCUCUUCACUCGAUCAUGCUUGAUGGUACUGUAGUCUACAUUAAUAUCAGACCAGUAUUCUGCAUGUGAACACAGCAAAUGGAUUUGAGAAGAAUUCACAAUGGGUGAAAUAAAAGCUAAUUGUUGAGUCAGUCCCUCAAAUGUGUUUAUUCAGAAAUGUUAAUGGUGGUGUUACAUGUCUCUGUAUGUCUCAGAGAGCUAGAGUUACCGUGUACACCACUAUAGGACAAAGGCCGAGCUAAUAAUCAGUUAUUUUCUCUUUUUUCCUUUCUUCUUGUCCUUCUCCAUGAGCUAUAGAUGUGACGCUGAACCCUUCAUACAGACAUCCUGACACACUACGGUCGCUCUUCUCAUGCCAUCGCACCUGACUUGUCAUGACACUUGUGUCUUUCUUUCUUCUGCUGUUUACAAAUGUGCAUGCAGAAAAAGAUUUUCACUCACUCACCAUCUAUACUGCUUUAUUCUGUCUAACAGGGUCGUUGGGGGGGGGGGUCCAAGGCCAGAAGACUUAGAGCCUUAGGCGAGAUACACAAUCCACCACAGGGCGCACUCACACACACGACGCCAUGCCAAUCAACCUGUAUGUUUUUGAACUGUGGGGAAAAACCCCCCACCAAGCAUAGGGACCAACUGUACUCAAGCAGACCCCAAGGCGGGAAUCGAACCCCAACCCUGGAGGAGCAAGAUGGCAGAGCUAACCACUAACCCACUGGGAUGGCAGAACAGGAUUUUCCCCUCCAAAAAUCAUUGGUAAAAGCUUGUAAGGUUGCAUCACUCCACACAUGCAGACCCGAGGCAGGAAUCAAACCCUUGACCCUGGAGGUACGAGGCCAAAGUACUAACCACAACUCCACAACUUCACCGUCAUUCAAGAAUGCACCAGUCUAUGAACAAACACACUUACAGUAACAUGCUGGGCAAGAUUCAUCACCGGAUAUAAACUAUGCUGCGAUGCGAAUUAAAAUGCUAGAUUUUUUAAGAUCCUAGAAUUUGA